rnacentral:rRNA from 1 species
AUGAUCGUUUACCAGGACAGGCUUCCCGGCAACGAGCUCCUGUCGGAUUCAUUCUUGUACAGGGAGUUGGAGAACGGCGUGCUCUGGGAAGUAGAUGGACAAUGGGUCGUUCAAGGUGCAGUUGAUGUGGACAUUGGUGCCAAUCCCUGUAAUGAGGGUGGUGAUCAUGAGGGUGGUGAUCAGGAGGGUGUCGAUGAAGAGGCCGUGAAGGUGAUUGACAUUGUUGACACCUUCCGUCUUCAGGAGCUACCAGCUUUUGAGAGGAAGGAGUUUUGCACUUACAUGAAGCGCUACAUCAAGAACCUCAGUGCCAAGCUUGAAGAUGAGGAACAAGAAUGUUUCAAGAACAACAUUGAGUCUGCCACAAAGUUUCUUUUUAGCAAGCUCGCGGAUUUUCAGUUCUUUGUGGGCGAGAGCAUGCAUGAUGAUGGCAGCCUGGUGUUCGCCUACUACAAGGACGGAGCUGCUGACCCAACUUUCCUCUACUUCGCACAUGGGCUGAAAAAGAUCAACUGCUAA